UACGUAUGUCCCGAGCGUUAUCCGGAUUUAUUGGGCGUAAAGCGAGCGCAGGCGGUUGGUUAAGUCUGAUGUGAAAGCCCGGAGCUCAACUCCGGAAUGGCGUUGGAAACUGGUUAGCUUGAGUGUUGUAGAGGUAAGUGGAACUCCAUGUGUAGCGGUGAAAUGCGUAGAUAUAUGGAGGAACACCAGUGGCGAAGGCGGCUUACUGGACUGUAACUGACGUUGAGGCUCGAAAGUGUGGGUAGCAAACAGG
rnacentral:rRNA from 1 species